UUGUGACCUCCAUGUGCCCAAGGAACUACAAGUAAACAAAACCAUUUUUUUCAUUGUGAAAAGCAACGGACUUGUGAUUUCUAGUUCAGCAUGCAGGGACCUUGGAAGUUAUUACUUGUUCCUGAUGGUUAGAAACUGCACAGUCAGCACCUCCUCUUGUGUCUGUCCGAGGACUGGUAUUCCAAGGCAUACAUUAAUUUCUCUGCAGAAGGGAGCAAGCAGCCAGUCAGGAAGGGUAUUUUGAGUGUCAGGCAUCAUGUCAUCUUGGGAAGUAAGGCGGAAAAAUUUUUCCACCAAUGUUUUAGGGUCAGUAUGAAGUGCAUUUAUCCAGUUCUCUUUGAUACCCUUUCAACAGUGAAGAAUCAGCAUGAGGAACUAGAUGUUUAGGGUCAGACAGGGUUUUCUGUUCCUGUGGGACCUUGAGCCCAUUAUGUCACCUCUCUGAAACUGGGUUUUGUCACGUGCAGAAUGGAAAUAAUAACCUGUAACGCCGAGGCGAAUCAGUGGGGCACGGCCACGUGGGCACUCUGCAUAGUGCGUCACCUGGCGUGUUGUGAGGACUGAUGAAAUCUAAAGCCACAUCAUCAUCACCACUCACUGUAAUAGUAGGUUUGACCUUAGCACUGUAGUGAAGAAACAAUAGGAGGGUUUCCACACGUGCCUCAGGCGGGUAUAAGGACCAUGUCACCCAUCUUUUGUUUCAUGACAGGAAGGAAUGUGAAAAAUGCUCCAAAGCACUUGGGGUGCCAGUGAGGUGGCUCAUUGGGUAAACGUGCUUGCUGCCAAGUGUAAUGACUUAGUUCAUCUGGGCACACGUGGUGAGGCAGAAAAGAAACUUAACUCAAGUUGUCCUUUGACUUCCAUGUGCCUGAGCAGAAGUUAAGCCUGUAACAAAAAGCCACUUUGCUGCAGUUUUUACUUCUGUUAAACAUCUGGUAGAAACUUGGGGAUUUUUUUGUGUGCCUUCUUCCUUUUCUCCACUUGUUCUCUGACUAUCCUUAUGCACUUUUGUUUUCUCCAUUGCCAUUUGACCAUUUGUUUUGCCUGUCAACAUAAAUGAAGCUAUUUUCUUAGACUGACCAAUAUUGAAACAAAUUCAAGACUGAGCACAGAGAAAUGAAGUAUUUGUUCAAGGCAGUGGUGUUUCUCACGUGAUCUUUGUGCCGCUGUGUUAAAGCUUAUAGAUUUUCAGUGGAAACUGGGCAUGGCUGUGAGCUCAGACAGCUGCAGAUCCCUCAAGUAUCCUUACGUGGCAGUGAUGCUAAAAGUGGCAGAUCAUUCUGGCCAAGUAAACAGCAAGACCAUCGAAAUGACAAUUCCGCAGUUUCAGAAUUUCUACAGACAGUUCAAGGAAAUUGCUGCUGUAAUCGAGACUGUGUGAGAACUGGUUUCUGAUUCUACCGUAAUGGACUCUGCCUUCCGAAAGAGAGCUGUAUGGAUCAAAGGAUAUUUAUAAAAAUUGUGCUCCUCUGUCUUGAGAGAUCUCUCAGAGGUUAAGAGCACUGGCUGCUCUUCCAGAGGACCAAGGUUCAAUUCCCAGCAUCCACAUGGCAGCUCACAACUGUCUGUCACUCCAGUUCCAGGGGAUUCGACGCCCUCAUACAGACAUAUAUGCGAGUCAAACACCAAUUGCAUGUCAGAAGAAGGCAUCUGAUCCCCUGAGCCUGAAUUACAGAAGAUUGUGAACCACCAUGUGGUACUGGGAAUCUAACCCUGGCCCUGUGGAAGAGCAGCUAGUUCUCACCCUGGUCCUGUGGAAGAACAGCUAGUGCUCUUACCUGCUCAGCCAUCUCUUUAACCCCAAAUGUGCUGUACUUAUUAAAACAAAACUUUGGACUGGAGAUGCAGCUCAGUGGUGGAGUAUUUGCCUAACCUGCUCAAGGUCCUAUGUUAAGUUUCCUAUGGGUAACACUCCACUACUGGGUGGUAUGAAAAAAGCUGGGGGAUCAAAUAGGUAACAGUGAAACUACUAUCAGUAUAAAGAAUGUUUGCCAAUGCAUAUUUAGUCAAAAGCCAAGACUUAAAGGCACUCUUUAAAAUAGAUGUUGAGAGAUAGUGCAAAGACCAGGUGAAAAUGAGAGAGAGAGAGAGUUGUAUUAACUUCUAGAAUUGAUAGUUGAGUCAAUUUCCACAGUGGUACGGUUCAGCUUUUCCCUAAGAGGUAUCCAUUGAAAAUGUGAGGAAAAUAUCAAUAUCAGAGAGGACACAUCCCAAAUUGUGUUUUCUUGAAAAUCAGACACCGCUAUUUUACCCAGGCUGGACUCUCGUGCUUUAUUAUGAACCUUCCAACAGCAGCAGAACGACUGGGAUGGGAGUAGCCAACUGGUUUCUGAAUGGAAUUGAGGCUUCCUCCUGGAACGAAUUCAUGGCUGUCACUAUGAGCCUGUUCAAAACCUGUGGCUUGGUUUCUCAACCCAUUCAGCUGGGUCCUGGAAACCUGACGGUGAACAGUGGGAGAUGAAGACAAAUGGACACAAGCAAUGUAAACCUGGGAC